rnacentral:tRNA from 1 species
CCACCUGUAGCUUAACGGAAGAGCGCUCGGCUGACUACCGGGAUGUAGAGGUUCGAUUCCUUUCAGGUGGACGA